rnacentral:rRNA from 1 species
GCCGAUGGCCAUACCACCCUAAACAUGGCCAAUCUCAUCUGGUCUCAGAAGCUAAGCAGGGUCGGGCCUGGUUAAUACUUGGAUGAAAGACCUGGAAAUAAUGGGUGCUGUAGGCU